UACAGAGGUGGCAAGCGUUGUUCGGAAUUACUGGGCGUAAAGGGCGCGUAGGCGGCCAUCUAAGUCAGACGUGAAAUCCCCCGGCUUAACCGGGGAACGGCGUCCGAUACUGGAUGGCUUGAGUUUGGGAGAGGGAUGCGGAAUUCCAGGUGUAGCGGUGAAAUGCGUAGAUAUCGGGAGGAACACCAGAGGCGAAGGCGGGUUACUGGGCUGAUACUGACGCUGAUGCGCGGAAGCUAGGGGAGCAAACGGG
rnacentral:rRNA from 1 species